GAUGAACGCUAGCGGCAGGCCUAAUACAUGCAAGUCGAACGAGAUUAAGGGGCUUGCUUCUUAUGAAAGUGGCGCACGGGUGCGUAACGCGUAUGCAACCUACCUUAAUCAGGGGGAUAGCCCGAAGAAAUUCGGAUUAAGACCGCAUAAAAACACAGGAUAGCAUUAUCCAAUGUUCAAAUAUUUAUAGGAUUAAGAUGGGCAUGCGUGUCAUUAGCUAGUUGGCGGGGUAACGGCCCACCAAGGCGACGAUGACUAGGGGAUCUGAGAGGAUGACCCCCCACACUGGUACUGAGACACGGACCAGACUCCUACGGGAGGCAGCAGUAAGGAAUAUUGGUCAAUGGAGGGAACUCUGAACCAGCCAUGCCGCGUGCAGGAAGACAGCCCUCUGGGUCGUAAACUGCUUUUAUUCGGGAAUAAACCUUUCUACGUGUAGGAAGCUGAAUGUACCGAAGGAAUAAGGAUCGGCUAACUCCGUG
rnacentral:rRNA from 1 species